GGUCGCGUAGCCCAGAGGCCUAAGGCGUUUGCUUUACAUCCGUGUACGCAAAAGAUCGCAGGUUCGAUCCCUGCCGCGAUCA